UGCUUUGAAACGUUUUAUUUACGUUUUUUUUUUAAAAGAGCAAUAAUUUAUGCCGUGAACCGAAAAGAGUGAGAUGGCGUCUUCCAGCCCCGCCUGUCGUCCCCCGGGGUGGCCUACACGGUCCGUGGUCCGUGGUCCGCUUGGGAAGGUGACAGCGGGGCCGAGGCCAGGACCCUGGCAGGAGGAGGCCUGCACUGUGAGCAGCCAGGGGGGCACUGGGGGCUUCUUCCUGGCGACUAUGAAAGGGACCCUGGCCACCGCGGUCCUGCGCGCACCCCAGCAAAGCCCCGCGGCCGCGCUGGGGCUCCGAGGUCUGCCCGCCUCUUUCCCUCCCCUGCACUGACCCCACCACUGUUUAUUUUUGAUUGCUUUUUUUUAAAAAAUAUAAUUCUGUAAAUGUUCCAUAAAAAUACUAUUGCCCCUGGUCAAACGCGGGAUUGCGGUUUGUAGAGUAGCUGUUCUAUAAAAUGUGAAAAGGUUCUCACACUGGGUGACGUAGAAAAAGGCCAGAAUCUCCAGGUAUCACAAAAGCCAGUACCGUGCGCGCAAAGGGAAAGCGCUGCCAGAUGCCGGCCAGGGCUCCCCUCCCGCGCUUCCCGUGCAGCGGCCAGGCCUGCGGGACGCAGCGUGGGCAGGACGGGUCUCCGUGCGUACGGGGAGGACGUCAUGGCUUUGAGACAGACAGACAGACAGUCGACUGCUCCCAGGCCCAACGAGCCGGCCCUACCAGGGCCACCUGCUCAGCUCGAAGCACCGAAGAAACCAGCAAUGCCCGGCCAGGAGCACUGGUGGCCGCCCCGUGAGGACGCGGCCCGGCGGGCUCGGGGGGGCCGCCCCUCCUGCGACGACAACGGAGGCCCCGCCUGGUCCCCGAGGCGCACUCCCACUCCCAGGCAGGCGCUGGGCCUCAGGGAGACCGCACGCCCCGUCCCCCGAGGCGGGAGGGCUCAGGUCCCGGGGCUGGGCUGUGCCUUCAGUUCUCGGAGAGAGACAGGGCCAGGGCCGCCUGGAAGGCCGCUUCCUCAUCGAUGCUGUAGUCCUGCAAGACAGGAAGUGAAGACGGGGGUGCAGCAGUGGCCUCUCGGGGCCCCAGACGGGACAGCCGCAUCCAGAGUCGCGGAGUCACUCUACUGACAGCCCCGAGGGAUGUCAAAGUAUUGGCCAGCAUGGGACCCACAUCUGGCUUCCCAACGUUCUUUACAGGGACACCUGACUCGGACACCUGGCUGGGACGCUGGGCGCAGGCGGGUCUGUGGGAGGUGUGAGCUCCUCCUCCUCAGACACAGGUACCAGGGUUCUGAACUGAGCAGAGGGGCAGGGCAUGUCUGGGGCCCCUGGCAAUUAGGACGGCGCGACAGGGCUGAGAGCAAGUAGCCCCAACGGCUGGGGUGCUGGAGGGUCUGCAGGCCGCAUGGUUGGUGGGGGGGGGGGGGGAAUGGGACAAGGUUUCUGAAAUGCCACAGGUGGGAGAGGGAGGGACAAGGCCCCCGGCAGCUCUUCUCCAGGCACCAGGAGGGAAGCCUGUCCCCUCCCACAGGCACUCUUGGUCCCCAGGCCACCACCAUGCAAAGCCUGAGAAGAGGGCUGAUGGGCCCAGUGGGGGGCGGGGUGACCAAGCAGAACAAAAGGAGGCCCUGGUGGGACUGCUCAGUGCAGCUCGAGCCCCAGGCCCUCCAGGGGUCACACCGCCACAGGUGGCCCCCGCCCCCAGAAGUCGCGCCCAGCUUCCUCCAAGCUGCUGCCUCAGGCAGGGGCACGGCGAACUGGGUAAGAAUGCAGGCAGGGGGCCAGGGGCGGGGCAGGGCGAGAAUGGGGCGGGGCCGCGGGCAGGGGCCAGGGCGAGGCUGGGUGAGGAUGGGGCGGGGUCGCGGGCUAGGGGCGGAGCUGGGUGAGAAUUGGGGGGGGCCUGCGGGCAGGGGCCAGGGGCGGGGCUGGGUUGGAAUGGGGCGGGGCCGCGGGCAGGGGCCAAGAGCUGGGCUGGGCACCUACCACAAAGGUGUCGUAGGAGAACUUGUGCCGGUGUAGCAGGUGCUGCAGGAAGUUGGCGCUCUUGUAGCUGGGGUCCCCCCAGGGCAUGGCCGAGCAGAUGGGGCACACC
rnacentral:lncRNA from 1 species